GCAGGGCCACGCGCUGGGAUGGCUGAUGCCCGAGCUGCAUCAGCCCUUGCGCGGCCCUCCCCGGUUCUGCACACUCCUAGCCCAUCUAAAUAUUUACCUGGGUGGCGUGUCUGAGUUACUAUGGAUGUCACAGUCAAGUAAAAAUAAUGUUCCUGAAAAAAGUGGCCAGUUCAGCUCGCAACUCACACAGCUGCGCAGUAUUCCUGGAGACCAUCGCAGCACUGCAGCACGCCCGCGGGCUUCAUGUGAACUGUCAUCCACAGAGCGUUAUUAAAAGGCUGGACCCCUGAGAGCAAGAAGUCUGAAUGGGGGUCAUCAGUACACGCCGAACGGAGCGGCUGAUGAUCAUCCGGGGGUCGCCUGAUGAGGCAAUUCUGUAUGCGAUCUAUAAGCAGAACACGGCCCACACUCCAGGGUCAUCAGUGACACCGACUUCCUCCAGGUGGUGAA